rnacentral:rRNA from 1 species
CAGCUCGGUGUCGUUGAGAUGUUGGGUUAAGUCCCGCAACGAGCGCAACCCUUGUCACUAGUUGCCAUCAUUUGGUUGGGCACUCUAGUGAGACUGCCGGUGACAAACCGGAGGAAGGUGGGGAUGACGUCAAGUCCUCAUGGCCCUUAUGGGUAGGGCUUCACACGUCAUACAAUGGUCGGUACAGAGGGUUGCCAAGCCGCGAGGUGGAGCCAAUCCCUUAAAGCCGAUCGUAGUCCGGAUCGUAGUCUGCAACUCGACUACGUGAAGUCGGAAUCGCUAGUAAUCGCAGAUCAGCAUGCUGCGGUGAAUACGUUCCCGGGUCUU